UUGUGAGUGUUUUCAGUUAUUAGUGAAAGUUGUCUUAACAAAAAAAAAGAUACCAGGGUUUUUCAUGUCAAGUAGGAGUUAGAAAGAAUGCAAUUGGCUUCAUAAUUGUUAAUGGAAAGAGGUUAUCACUUCCAAGAGAAGUUAAGUGGACCACGUUUAAAAUUUUAGAUAAUUUUGAUGAUGAAAAUUGGUGAAGGCCACUCAUUGAUAUAUUAGAGUUUAAGUAGCUUUCAGGAAUGCUAGCUGAAACUUUGGAAGAUCAAUUCCAAAUUGAACAAAUGAAAAUGUUGUUGGCAUUAGCAAAAUCAGGAAUAUGUCCGCAACUAAAAUUAGAGACCUAACGUACAAAGCUUGAUUAGGUGAGCUGAAUCAGAUAGAGAUAUUGUAUGUAACAAAGCUUGAUUAGGUGGUUUGAAUCCGGUAAAGAUAUUGUAUGUAACUGUAUUGAAGCUGUCGAGGGUGUGUGGAUUAGCAGCUGUGUAUCAUGUGUGUAUCAUGUCUGGGAGUAUGAUGUUCACAAGCUCAUGCAACUAGAGGAACCGAUUGAUAUUUUCCUUUCGCACGAUUGGUUGCUCGGCAUCACUGAUUAUGGGAACUGGCAACAACUUGUUUGCUACAAAAACAUUUCAAAGAUGAGGUAAUUAUAAUCGAUUGGUGGAAAUGCAUAUACGUGAAAGAAUGAAAAUCUUCAUAUCGAGCAAUGAGCAGUUUAAUAUCUUAUUCUCUCCUGUUUUUCCCUUAUUUCUAAUGUCUUUCUCCUUUCUUAACUACUGUUUUUUCCUUCUCUUCUGUUUUCUUUCUCCCAGCCUCCUUUCUUGUCCUUUCUUUCUUCACACACACAAAUACGGUACACUAGAGUGAAACCCUAAGUUUUGCUUGCUGUUUCUGUUAUUUGUGAUUUUUAAAAUCCCCUAAUUCAUUGGAGAUUGAUUUCAGGGAUGAAUAUGUAUUUAACUUGGUUUCUUUCCUUUUCAUCUCUGUUUUUAGUUUCAAAUAUAUGCUUUUCUCUACUAAUAUUUUCAGUUGACUUUUGCCAGGGUUUCCGGUUUUCUGAUUCAAAGAGUCACUGUUACGUUCCGUUGAAAUUAUGGAUCUUGGUGUGGUACUUUUGUUUGUUUAUCUUGUACUAUAUGUUCUUUAUUUUUUGUUUUGUUUGUUUCCGUCUACUUACGAUUGUAGCUAUCGUGAUAUCUUCUAUUUCCUUUUAUUUUUUGCUUCGCAAAAUACUGUUUCGGUUUCUCUUUUUGGGCUUCUGUUUUGGUGUUUGGGCCUGUGCCCUGCUUAGUUUAUGGCCUUGUGUUCUGCCUAGUCUUUGGGCUUUUAUCCCGCUUGGAAGUUCUAGGGAAUGAUUGAGGAAUCAAUAACCUUCUCAAUUUGUCUCUCCUUUCUCAAACAUGUUAUGCAUCUUCUCUUCUGUAAUGUGCUACAUCUCUGCUCUUAACAACGACCCUUUUCGUGCUUCAUUUCAUCUUUCUGACACAUGUAUUUAGCAGCUUUUCGGUAUCUUCAUUUUUCUUUUUUUCUCCCUUUUUUAGUGAAGAGAUAAAUGACUUUCUAGUAAAAGAUAUUUUAUUGGUAACAAAAGAAAUAUGGCCUUAAUUGUUCUUUUCUUCAAAUGUUAUUAUUGAUGAUAAAUGAUGGUUUGAAUUAUUUUAGCAUCUUAGUAUUCACUGUAUACAUUUUUUGUCUUAUCCAUUUUAUAAGUUAAAACAUAUAAUCAAUAUUUUGGUCUCUGCACAGUAUUUCAUUGAUUAUUUUUAGAUGAAAUUUGGAGAUGCUAGAACAUAACUUAAGCUCUUUGGUAUAUUUUACAAAUAUUUUUAUAGAAUUGUGAUUAAUUCCAUAUGGACCUGGAUGAGAAGGUCAUCAACAGUUUGUUAUCGUACUAAGUCAUGGACUCUUCUGAAACUACUUUAUUUGGAACUAUCAAGUGAAUCUUAUCUUUUUUCAUUUGUUCAUAUUUUUGUAACUUUCUUUUUCAUUUUAAUCUGUUGCUUACAAUUUUGUAGCAAUUGGAAAGUUUCCUUGAGUUUGAAUAAUCUUUGAUAGACUUUUGUGUCAGUUUUGAGUUAGGGUUUUUAAUUUUUUCUAGUCAAUUUGGUUGGAUUGGAUUUGGUUGAUCUCCAAAUAUGGAUCAAUGUUUUCUCAUGUUAAUUUGCUAUGAAAUAGCCUUUAGUUUUGUGUUAGGCUCGAGGUUAGGACCUUUCAUUUCUCUGUAGCUUCUAGUCAGGCUGGCUUGGGCUUUUGAGAUGUUGAGCAGUUAAAUAGGUGACAAUCAAAGAUAAUGUGUUGCCCUUUCUGUUAACACUAGCUGAUAUCUGAUAUUUGAUCAACAUUAAGUGAAACGUGAUAACAAAAUAACAAAUGUUUUAAUUAGAAAAGCAUGAAAAUCUUCAGCUAUGAUUAUAGUGUUUGUUUGCAAAACUAUAAUCUGAGGUUGAAAGUUUUAGCUUUUUAACCUCUUAGUUUGAUUUCUAUUUGCAAAUGUUAAUUUAUGUUAUUGUUUUCUAUGAAUCAUGCAUUCACCUCGUCAGUUGCAUGCGAGAAUGAGCUAGUUUUAUUUAUCUGUUUGGGGGCAGGUUCACACGAAUAUAUUCUUGCUGUUUCUUUAGGUUAAUAUGUUAAUUCUUUUCUGCUAGGUUUAAGUUUAUUUGACAUUCAUUUGCGCUAACAUUAUGUUUGUUUGCCUUGUUUUUGUUUGUAGGUCUUAGCUUUUAGGGACAUAGCUCCCCAGGCUCCUACGCACGUUUUAAUUAUUCCAAAAUCAAAGGAUGGCCUAAGCGUAAUUGGAUUUCUCCAGUGGCUCUUUUUUCUAUAUUUUUUGAGAUGGCCCUGCUACGUCUGAGCAGUAAACAUUUAUGCCCUCUAUCAUAGAGGAAACUACAAUUAUGGCUGGGUAUUAAUUUGGAAAAAAAGUAUGGAGUAUUGUUAAAAGAAUGCUGCUAAAGUUUUGUCAAUUUGAUUUGCCUUUUGCGUUUUGCUCACUCUUGAUGCUGUAUGAGGAAAAGAAAGUGAAGGAAAAUAGGAGUGAAAUUAAAUGGAAAUUGUAUCGAGAAAUUCUGGUGGUAAAGACUAAGAGAGUCUUAGUGGUUAUAAGAAGGUGGGGAACUGAAAGAACAUCAAUGCUGAGGAAAACCUUAAAACUUGAUAUGCAAGUAUUGAUAGGUAUAGGCCAUAAAUUGAGCUUCUAAAUGUAUCUGUACAAUGAAAAACCCUAAUAAAACCUUAAAGCAAUAUCCAUUAUUCAUCCUUGUUGGAAGAAAUUGUCUUUAGAGUUAAAUUGCAUAUACCCCUCCUUCCUUUAGUCAAAAAAUAUGACCUUCCCAAUGAACAGAAAGUAUGUCACCGAGUCUAGAAUUAAAAAGCUCAUCACCAAGUUAUUUCAAUCCAUCAACUUAUUGCAAUCACUAAAACACAUGUAAGGUGUGUAAUGAAACAAAAUAAGGUUCAAAGAUGUCUGAUGAAAUAAUUUAGUGUUAGAAUUUGCAUUUCGUGUAUCCAAGGCUUGUGCAUUUGUUUUCUAUGUCAUAAUCAUGUUUAAGGUGUCGUGUAUUUAUUAUAAGUUUUGACAUUAUAAAGUGAUUGGUGUUAUAUUGAUUCUGAUAUGUUUCUGUGCUUGUGUAAUAUUGUAUUUUAGCUAUUUUUCUUGUGUCAUGUACAAUAUUACCAGGUCUGUUUAGUAACAAUAUUUUCUCUAAAGGUCUCUUUUUAGGACGUCGGCCAUUCAUAUUAACCCAAAGUAUCUCUCUCUACAAUCUCAAGUGAAUUUUCUACAAUCUCUCUUAAUCAAUUGAAAGAAUGGCAUAAAGAAAUGCAAAACCUGUGAUAACCCAACAUGUCAAUCUUCUGUGUGCCAAACUCAUAUGUUGCAUCAUCUUGUCCUCUAUUUCUCUUCUUUCUUAUCUUUCAAUGGUGAAGUGAUGCAUUGGUGUGUUAUACAGCUCUAUUAUAGGGUUGAAUUAUUUACUUGCUCCAUCUUUGUAACCUUAGGCUGCUAAAAAGGUUCUCCAAAUAACAUGUUGCACCUAGUUGGACCUUAGAAGACAAACUAGCUCUUCUAUUAAGCUCCAUGUAAUUAGUUAUUUGAUUUGUUGAAGCUAUUGGUUAAUUUAGAUAAUUUGAUUAUGCACUUCCUCAAUUUACAUAUACCCUUGAUUAUCUCUUUCAAAAAUGCCUUUUUUAAUGCAUUCAGAUCUUGCAUAUGCAGUUUGAUUUGUUUAGCCUCUGUUACUGAGAUUGUCCAUUUAAAAAUUUUUGAUGAUAAACUUCCCUUUGCCUUUGGUGGCCAUAUUUUCAGCACUAUUGAAUUUAGUCUUUUGGUCUAUGUCUGGAUCUUUAGGCACUAGAUUUGAAGCCAAACUACGUGCGUGCUUGGGCAAACAUGGGUAUCAGUUACGCCUACCAGGUUUGUUAUAUCCUGCACUGUUCUUUGAUUGUCUUGACAUUUAUGAAAAGGGAACUGCAUUUCUUACUUUAUGUCUUCAUUUCCUUUUGCACAUUUCUGAGAUGGUCAAUCCUUCUAAAUGAAAAUUUAUGGUUAUGUGAUCCGGAAUUAAAUCACCUUGUGUUCUGUAUAAUUUGUCAAGAGAAUAUGAUAAGGCCAUUGCAUAUUUCAAAACUGCUUUGAAACUUAAACCUAAUGAUUAUUCUCUUUGGAAUAAGAUUGGUGCAACACAAGCCAACAGUGUUCAGAGUGCUGAUGCAAUAUUAGCUUAUCAACAGGUAGCCUCUUCAUGAUCCCCCCCCCCCCCGGUUGAAUAGUGGUGGCCUAUCUGUAUACCACAUGAUAUGUUAAUUUCAUAACUUCUUUUUUUUAUAAUUAAAAAUUUAUUUUCACUACCCUAAAAUUUUGGUGUUCUCUUUACUAAGUUGGAGUACCUGUAAUGUGUUAAAUUCAAAAUAUAUGGGUGCUAGGAUUUUACUAAGGGUUAAUUUGAAUGGUGUGUUGUUUAAUAUUUUGCAUGUUAGGCCAGAAUAAAAAAUUGAAUUAUGAAGGUGUUGACAAUGUAGGCAAGGGUGCUGUAACUACCUGAACCAUUUGAGGUGCAAGAUGUAAAAAAAGCACUUUAUUGAGUAAAUUAAGGCGAAUGUGUAAAUUUUUGCUUCUUGUAUCAAGGGGCCUUUUUUGCUUUUAUACAAAAAAUUGUGCCUAGGACUUGGCUUGUGCUUAAUCAAUUGAAAGGAUGGCAUAAAGAAAUACAAAAUAUCUGAUAACCCAACAUAUCAAUCUUCUGUGUGCGAAACUCAUAUGGGUUGUAUCAUCUUUUCCUCUAUUUCUCUUCUUUCUUAUCUUUCAAUGGUAAAGUGAUGCAUUGGUGUGUUAUAAAGGUCUCUUAUAGGGUUGAAUUAUUUACUUGCUCCAUCUUUGUAACCUUAGGCUGCUAAAAAGAUUCUCCAAAUAAGAUGUUGCACCUAGUUGGACCCUAGAAGACAAAGUAGCUCUUCUAUUAAGCUCCAUGUAAUUAGUUAUUUGAUUUGUUGAAGCUAUUAGUUAAUUUAGAUGAUUUGAUAUGCACUUCCUCAACUUACAUAUAUCCUUGAUCUUCUCUUACAAAAUGCCUUUUUUAAUGCAUCCAGAUCUUGCAUAUGCAGUUCGAUUUGUUGCCUGUUGUGGCCAUAUUUUCAGCACUAUUGAAUUUAGUCUUUUGGUCUAUGUCUGGAUCUUUAGGCACUAGAUUUGAAGCCAAACUAUGUGCGUGCUUGGGCAAACAUGGGUAUCAGUUACACCAAACAGGUUUGUUAAAUCCUGCACUGUUCUCUCAUUGUCUUGGCAUUCAUGAAAAGGGAACUGCAUUUCUUACUUUUUUAUCUUCAUUUCCUUUUGCAUAUUUCUGAGAUGCUCAAUCCUUCUAAAUGAAAAUUUACUAGCAUACUCAGGUUCCACAAAUUUACUAUGCCACACUAAAAGGGGUUCAGGAAAUCUAUAAUUGUUAAAAGUAUUGUUGUGAAUCACUAAAAUUUUCCCAUUGAGGAAAAAAAGAAGAAGAAGGAUUCGGAUAUCAUCCGUCUAAAUAUUCCUUUUCUUAAUUGAGGGGAACUGCAUUCCUUACUUUAUUAUCUUCAUUUCCUUUUGCAUAUUUCUGAGAUGCUCAAUCCUUCUAAAUGAAAAUUUACUAGCAUACUCAGGUUCCACAAAUUUACUAUGCCACAAAUUUACUAUGCCACACUAAAAGGGGUUCAGGAAAUCUAUAAUUGUUAAAAGUAUUGUUGUGAAUCACUAAAAUUUUCCCAUUGAGGAAAAAAAGGAGGAUUCGGAUAUCAUCCGUCUAAAUAUUCCAUUUCUUAAUUGAGGGGAACUGUGUGUGUUACUUUAUUAUCUUCAUUUCCUUUUGCAUAUUUCUGAGAUGCUCAAUCCUUCUAAAUGAAAAUUUACUAGCAUACUCAGGUUCCACAAAUUUACUAUGCCACACUAAAAGGGGUUCAGGAUAUCUAUAAUUGUUAAUCUGAUUGAGCAUGUAAACAAAUUUGCUUCCAGGGUAUGUAUGAGGAGUCGAUCCGAUAUUAUGUUCGAGCACUGGCAAUGAAUCCCAAGGCUGAUAAUGCAUGGCAAUAUCUAAGAACAUCUUUAAGGUAUCAUCCUGAAGUAGAGAAUGUCUUCUAAUCAUGCGAAUUAGUUCCACUUACAUAUCUCCAUUUUUCAUUUUCAUUCUUGCAGCUGUGUUUCGCGGAAUAAUAUGGUGGAAGCUUGUGAUUCCAGGAAUCUAGAGCUUUUACAGGAGUUUCCUCUAUGAAUAGAAUAUGAUUUCGAAUUUUUAAGUAGGAUGGGUAUCAUGACUAGCUGAAACAGGGGCAAAAUGUUACUGUCAAAAAUCAAUUCAAAAAGCUGUAAAUGCUGAUGUACCCGAUAGGUUGCAGCUAGGGCCAUGCUGGUAGAUGUUAUCUGGGGGGAACAAAUAAUGUUUUGUAUAUUUUAUUUAUGUCUCAACACCAUGAAGUAUGUAAUUUUGUUAAACGGGGCAUGGGAUGGUUGAUAGCGAAAGAUAAUGUUUGUUAGGUUAUAUGAAAACAGGAAAAGCAAUUACGGACUAGUGAUUUGCUGCAAUAAGCUACUUCGUCUUUCACUUAAACGUAAUUGCUGAUUGUUGAAAAUGGUACGGAGCGACGAACAACUGGUCUGCCCAGUGCAAUUUGCAUAAUCUUUGACUUGAUUCAGCAUCUUCACAUCCACCCUACUUGGGUUGGGGAAUUAAAAACUGCAUAACCAAAAUCACAGAAAUACUGUCUGCUGCCGUAUCAGUUACGGACGCAUUGUAGUUUAUUUUUUAGUCUUUUGGAUUGAAAAUAUUUGGAGAAAAUCCAAGCAAAAUCAAAGUGUUCCGUAUGAGGUAAUCAUUCAAAAAAUCAAGAUGUGUUCAGUGAUUAAACCACCUUGUUUUCAAUAUAUAGUUCUCAACAAAUUUGGAAAAAGAAUUCGUUCGAAAUAACACUAAUCUCGAUGGAGAGAUGACAGCUUAUUUGAUUGGACAGUAAUAAAAUUUUAUGGUCUAAAAUGAAUUUGUACAAUAGUGAAAUGUUCAAAUAUUAAAAGUUCAGAAUAUAAGAAGGACCAGAUUCGCAUGACAAGGGAACUGCUCCUACUUUUACAUCUAGAACUACUGCUCUGGCGAUGGAAACGUCUGUUGCUGGGAAUGCAUCACUUGAAGGUUGCUGUUUGGAUUCUAUGCUCCACCACCACACCAGCAUCGUCGUCGUCGCCGCCGCCGUCACCUAGGGUUUCAAGUCCUUCAACUUUCCCCUUUCUCGGUUUCGUUCUACAAAUUUCCGAGCUGGAUUAUCUCUCUUUCUUCUGGCGAAUCUCAAUGCGCCGCUGGUUCAGCGGCUUUGUUUAUCAUAUUUCUUUCCUUUCCCAUCUCUCUAAUAUGUGUAUCAGUUUCUGUUGUUGAUCAGUUUGGAGCAAAAAAAAAAAAAGGCUAGGUUUUGGUGAGAUUAGUUUCUAUUAAUUAAAAUUUUGAAUCUGAGGGUUUUUGUAUUUGUAUUUUUUUUUUGUUUCGUGGGAUUUGAAUGGCAUUGGGCGAUCUGAUGACGUCACGAUUUUCGCAAUUGUCGUUGGCGGUAUCGAAUCAUGUCAUCGACGGUAACGUCAGCAGUGGCGGCUAUCAUGACGACGAUGUUGCUUCUGCUGACUUGAUGUCUCAGAGGAGGGAUUUAGAUGCUGCAUCAACUAGCAGUUACGCCAAUGCCGUUACUUGCACGGCCACUGUGCCUACGACCAUGGCUUACUUGCCGCAAACUGUUGUUUUAUGCGAGCUUCGGCAUGCUGCCUUUGAAGCUUCCACGCCAACUGGACCCUCUGAAAGUGGCCUUGCUUCCAAAUGGCGCCCCAAGGACAAAGUCCUUUCCUUUCUAGGUUGUUUUCUUCUAUUUUUUGCUUACCAUUCGUUUGACUGAUUAUAUCUAAUAAUGGGUUUAAGAAAAAAAAAUAUUUACAUUGCAGUAGGAAAAGAUGGGAUUGUGCAAAUAAUUAGAAUUUCCUAUUGAUAUUCGGAAGUAAGAAAAUUUGACUUCGUUUAGAGGUUAUUAGAAAUGUUGCUAAAAUUGGUUCAUAUCUAUGCCAUUUUGGGUCUAGAACUAAAAUUUUAAUAGGGCUUUAGUACAUUGGAUAGAAGGGAGGGGGAUUCUUAGAUGUGCUAGCAUAAUAUUAUGAAAUUAGUACUGUCGAUUAAGUUUGAAAUCCAUGAAUUUGAUGUGGUCACCUAGCAAUGGAAGACAUGAAGACAUUGUACUCCUCCAGAUCAAAGCAUUAGAGUCUGGAAGAUUUUAAUACUUUGUACAUUAAGUAAACUGCUGUUGUUUUUACCAUCCCAGUAUGUCAUUUGCCUUGUGAUGAACUACUGACUAAGGAAUAUAUUUUGAAUGGUUGGUUGUUUAAAAAGGAUUAAAAGAGUUGAGUUUCUACUGUGAAGGCUCUACUGCGCAAAUACAUAAAACAUCCAGGAACAUCGGACAAGGCAUGGCACCCUUUUUCAGGCAUGAACUUAUUUCUUUUUCAAUACGCAAUUUUCAGACAUGGCCAUUGGUUUCAAAAUGGUAGCUAGAUCUAGAUCUAUGGUACAUGCCCACUGCCGAGAGUUUAUUUGGUAGUUUUUCUGGAUAACGUGUCUUUUUAAUUCGUUGUGAGUUGUGACAUUCUGUUUCUUAGUUUUCUCAAAAAGUCUGUACUUUAGUUUUAAAAAUAAUAAUAAUAAUAAUCUAAUUGGGAUGGUUGUUGAUAUUGAUAAGAAUUGGAGAAUUUCAACCGACUUGCUAAUUGCAAAGGUUUUUGUCGAUUUGGGUUUCUUGAUCAUAUACUGUGGAGAUUGUCAUGAUUCGUGUAUGCAUGUAUGUUUUCUUUUUCAUACUGCUAGGUGCUUUUUUCUUUAAAAUAGUUGGGAUUGUCUGAGUUCUGUUGGGUAUGAUUUGCGAAUGGAUUUUGAUUGGAAGUUUUAGGUAGACCCCUGGUAUCUGUAUAUUAGCUGAAUAGGUUCGUUUAAGUGAAUAGGCUACUCCGGGUAUAUCCCACUUCUAUGCUAUCUCCAUUCACAAAUAUUAGUGCCUGGUUGAUAGUUUUAGUGUCCGGUUCAGCUUUUUUUCUUAUUUGGACUGGACUACUUGUUGUACUUAUUCAUGGCAGGUAUAUCCCAUUCUAGGGAUAUCCUAAGGUUGGAUAUCCCGGUUUGUCACUAUCCCGGUUUGGGGUUUUUAAAAAAUUUAUAUAUAAAAAAUAAUAUAAAAAAUUUAAUAUGCAUGGGCUGAGUUUUUUCAAAAUUUUAGAUUAUUUUUUGGGUUGAGCCUGUAUCAACCUUACCUUUCAAACCUACCCAAUAAAAACUCCCCCAUGAUUAUUAAUGCAUUAAAUUCUGUAGUAUAUUCAUUCAAACUAGGCUAGCUAUUUGAGUAUCUUAUUUAUCUUACGGAGGGAGAUCAAAGGCGCUGAAGAAUAUCUCCACAAACCGGACUACCUGUCACUCUUAUUCCAGGGAGGGAUAUCCCAUUCCAGAGAUAUCUCGGUUUUGGAAUAUCCAAGAGAGGGAUAUCCUGGCUUGGUUAUAUCCCAUUUGAAGGAUAUCCAGACGUUGGUUUAGGGUUUUCUUAAAGUAUUGGGUUAUUAUUAAUAUGCAAAAACACAUAAAACCAUCAGGACUUAAGCAAAACAAAAGCUUGGAAAAAUAGGCUUAAUUUUAUCUGGGUCUAAGUACAUCAUGAUUGUAAUAUUUAAGAAAAUGUUGUAUCUUCAAUUCAUAAAAAUUGAAUAUAACUUUUCUAAAGGCCAAAUCUUGUUAUGCUCUUUUCCAGAUAGAAGAACAGCAGAGGGGUUUCCUUAACAAUUUUUUUGAUUAAUAAAUAUAUUAUUUAUUUAUUUAUAAAUUUUAUAUUAUAUAAAAAAUAGAUUUCAAAUCUGAAAGGUUAAGUUUACCUUAAGGAAAAUAUCAUCUAUUUAUCAAGUCUAAUUUAAUAUGCAAAUAACUCUAAUCAUCAAUCAAAUAAUAUAAUUCAAUUUAAAAUUUAUAAAUAGUAAAUUUAAGUCACUUGUUUUUAAAUAGACAGUUAUAUCCAUUUCUCUUUAUAGUACAAAAUUUUAGGUUAUAUUCUCUUUGAAUAUGUGUUGAACAUGGCUUUAGGGAAAUGAAGGGGCUGAGUAAGAAAACAUAGCAUGUCAUUUUAUGAAUGCUAAUGAUGAUAACAUUCAUGUAAACGGAACGAUGACUAGGAACUGUAGAGAGGUUUAUUGACAGCCCAACUAUUUGGUUUUUCCAUGUAGAAAAAACUUAAAUUGCAGUUGCAUUUUACCUGUGCUGUCUGUUCCCCAAUAAUGAACUGGUCCUGCUGAAAACAGGAAAUUCUGGAGGCGCCCGAGAAAGCUGAGUCUCAUAUUUGGACAUUUUGGACACUCGAAGAAGCACAAGCUUAUUGGAAGCAAGAAUUUGGACAUUUAAAUGGUCGAGAAUCGAAAUAAUCGAAAUAGACUUUAAUUAAGCUGCAUGUUGCAGACUUUCAGCUGAGUUUUCUUGUUUUUUUCCCCUUAAAGUUCCAGUUGUUACCUUUUAACUAUUACAAUAAAUCAAUAAAUCAGUGCAACAGAGAGUAGAGGUUCUUUUGUUUGUGUUAAGAGCUGUCUAUAUAAAGGGCUGUGUUUUUUAUUUUUGUUUAAUUUGUUUUCAUUAGCGGUCUUGCUAAGGGUAAUAGAUGAGAAUUUUUUGGAAUUUUGAGGGAUGCUGAUUGUAUUUAAGAGGAUGGAUUCUAAGGAGUGAACGUGGAAGUGGCCUUAUACCUUGAAAUUAUUAGGUUCAUUAAUUGGUCAGUCAGCUGGUCAAAUGUUUUCAGGGAAAUGAGAUAGCAGAUGUAUUAGGUAAGGUUGGCAUUUGAAGGGAAGUAUUUUCAUGGCUUGAUGGUGAUAUUUGUUCUUUUUUAUUUAGUUCUCUGUGCGAUCAUUGGUAUUUCCAAGUCCUGGCGCUGUCUGUUCUUACUUGGUGUUUGAGUUUUGGUUGACUUGUGCUACUGAUGUUUUAAUUCUACAUAUUGGUUCUGAAAUGUCUUUGUCCUUUGUUUUCUUUUGUGAGUGUUGUCAGUUAUUGGUGAAAGUUGUCUUAACAAAAAAAGAAGAUACCAGGGCUUUUCAUGUUCAAGUAAGAGUUAGAAAGAAUGCAACUGGCUCGAGAAAGUGACCUUUACAAACUACAAAUAUAAUGGGUAUCUCCAUUGACAAUGGUGAUGCUCUUUUCCUAUUUAUAUACAUAUAUAUAUUAACGAAUGCGGGUCUUCCUGGCAUUCUAGGUGAUAGUUUAUUCUUAAUGGAACUUUGGGUAUGUGGUAAAUAUUUUCGUUUUGGGGAGUAAAUUUUGGUGCAGAAAUUGCAUAUUAGUCCAACAUCAUCUGUGUCUUCAAUUGAAUGUGUUUUCCGUCUUUUAAAGAUAUUGCUUAUUGAUUCCUCGAUGAAGAUACCUUUCAAUCGCUGCAUUAGAGAUGGAGAUUUUUUUAUUGUAUAUGAGAGGCAUGAUACCAUGAAAGCUGUUAAAGUGUGAGAGAAUUCGGUUCUUCAAAUUCGUUUCGGUGUAUUUAAACAUUCAGAUUGGAUCGGGAAGCCAUUUGGUUCCAUAAUUUUCAGCAACAGAGGUGGGUUUGUUUACCUAUUGGCUUCGAUACCGGAGUUAUGGACUUUGGUUCUAAGUCAUAGGACUCAGAUUCUUUAUAUUGCGGAUAUUAGCUUUGUGAUUAUGUACUUGGAAGCAGUUCCGGGUUGUUUGGUUCUUGAAUCCGGGACUGGUAGUGGCUCAUUAACAACAUCGUUUGCAAGGGCUGUGACGCCAACAGGACAUGUGUAUACCUUUGAUUUCCAUUAACAGAUGGCUGCCUCAGCUAGGUAAGCCUUAGUGUUUAUUGUUUGCAAAAGUGCAUUGUGAUGAAAUAUGAUAUAGUAAUUCCUUAGGUUAAACUUGAAUACUGGGUUAUCUUUAGUUGACGUCUUCAUAGAUCUACAUUUUGUUGCUGUGAUACUUCAUUGUCUCUAAUUGUCUCGGUUUACAGAUCUUUAUUAGUUUCAUUAGUGAGUGCAUUGUUACGAAAUUUUGGUUUCAAAGAUUGUUAUGAAAUAUGAUUUUAGAAACUGCUUAGGUUGAGCUUGAAUUCUAGGUAGAUUUAAGAAGUCUGUUCAGGUGGAUGUAUUCUUUGAAAUACGACAUUCUGUUGCUGUCAUGCUUCGUAGUCUCAAAAUUAUCUCGGUUUUGUGGAACCUUGCGUAGGACUCAUUUAUGAUGCAUAUUUUGUCCCAUUAUAUGGUUUCCGUUUGUCUAAAUGAUAAUAGAAAGAUCCAAGGAUGGUUGUUUAUUUUUCUUUGAUUCUUCUGUGUUGGUUCGUGAAAGAAGGGAUGUUUUAUAAUUUUUCACUCCUUCAACAGAGAAGACUUCGAGAGGACUGGAAUAAGCACUUUAGUUACCAUGGGAGUCCGAGAUAUUCAGGGUGAGGUAUUUCCCGAUCAGUUUUAUGGGUUGGCUGACUCCAUAUUUCUGGACCUACUGGAACCUUGGCUAGCCAUUCCUUCAGCUUGAAACAUGUUGAAACAAGAUGGAACUCUGUGUUCCUUCUCACUGUGCAUCGAACAAGUGCAACGUUCAUGUGAAACUCUUAGAUCUGAGGUUACAGGUAACAUAUUAGAAUUAAGUUAUCCUAACUUUUUCAAGCAGUUUUUCUUUUAAAGCAGUUUCAAAACUGCUUUGAAACUUAAACCUAAUGAUUAUUCUCUUUGGAACAAGCCGUGCAACACAAGCCAACUGUGUGCAGAGUGCUGAUGCAAUAUUAGCUUAUCAACAGGUAGCCUCUUCAUGAUUCCCCCUUGAAUAGUGGUGGCCUAUCUGUAUACCACCUGAUAUGUUAAUUUCAUAAUUACUUUUUUUAUAAUUAAAUAUUAAUUUUCCCUAUCCUAAAAUUUUGGGGUUCUCUUUAGUAGGUUGGAGCACCUGUAAUGUGUGAAAUUCAAAAUAUAUGAGUACUAGGAUUUUACUAAGAACCAAUUUGUAUGGUGUGUUGGUCACUAUUUUGCAUGUUAGGCUAGAAUAAAAAAAAAAAUGAAUUAUGGUGUUGACAAUGUCGGCAAGGGUGCUCUAACUACCUGAACCAUUUGAGGUGCAAGAUGUAAAAAAAAAGCACUUUUUUGAGUAAAUUAAGGUGAAUAUGUAAAUUUGUGCUUCUUGAAUCAAGGGGGCUUUUUCGCUUCUAUACAAAAAAGUGUGCCUAGGACUUGGCUUGUGCUUAAUCAAUUGAAAGGAUGGCAUAAAGAAAUGCAAAACAUGUGAUAACCCAACAUGUCAAUCUUCUGUGUGCCAAACUCUAUUUCCUCUAUUUCUCUUCUUUCUUAUCUUUCGAUUGUAAAGUGAUGCAUUGGUGUGUUAUACAGCUCUCUUAUAGGGUUGAAUUAUUUACUUGCUCCAUCUUUGUAACCUUAGGCUGCUAAAAAGAUUCUCCAAAUAACAUGCUGCACCUAGUUGGACCUUAGAAAACAAACUAGCUCUUCUAUUAAGCUCCAUGUAAUUAGUUAUUUGAUUUGUUGAAGCUAUUUGUUAAUUUAGAUGAUUUGAUUAUGCACUUCCUCAAUUUACAUAUACCCUUGAUCAUCUCUUUCAAAAUGCCCUUUUUAAUGCAUUCAGAUCUUGCAUAUGCAGUUUGAUUUGUUUAGCCUCUGUUACUGAGAUUGUCCAUUUAAAAUUAUUUGAUGAUAAACUUCCCUUUACCUGUGUUGGCCAUAUUUUCAGCACUAUUAAAUUUAGUCUUUUGGUCUAUCUCUGGAUCUUUAGGCACUAGUUGAAGCCAAACUAUGUGCGUGCUUAGGCAAACAUGGGUAUCAGUUAGGCCAACCAGGUUUGUUAUAUCUUGCACUGUUCUCUCAUUGUCUUGACAUUCAUGAAAAGGGAGCUCCAAUUACUCUACCCUUAACUAUUUUAUUUUACCGAUGAAAAUAAAAUAAAAAUAUUAUAAUAUUGUUAUGUUAUAAAAUAAAAAACCAAAGUUUCUCUCCGUUAAAUCAAGAUCCAUUGUCAUUAGCUUCUUUCUCUCUCUCGAAAAAGGAAAAGAAAAGGUUUGAAUUCAUGAAUCAGCUGUAGCUUCUUCCGAAUGAGUGAGUCGAGGUAGUGAUAGUCUUUCUUUUAAGGUAUAAAUUUUGAUUCUUUAGAAAAAUCUUGUUUUUUCUUCAUCUCUUUUUAUUCUGUUUGGUUUCUGAUCGAUGAAAAUUGAGGGAAAUUUGUAUCAAACUUGACAUUAGUCCCUUGUUCUUUUUAAAUAAUUCCUUAUUCACCUGUGAGUUGGCAAAUUAUGUUCAGCCUGCAUUUUCCCGGAAGCCAAACAGGAGACUUAAAUGUUUUUAAUUUCUCCAAUUUCCCUUUAAUUUUUUCUAACGUCUUUUUUCCUUUACUGGCUGUUAAUUUUCUUUCUUAUUCUGUUCGGGCUUUAUCUCUGUCAUAUUCCGACUCGGAAUAAGCUAUUCUCUGGAUAUCCUGCCUUUUCUUAUUCCGGUUCUGAAUUUUUGGCUUCCGGUUUAUUGGUUUUAGUGCUCGGUUCAGCUAUUUUUUAUUGUCUGGACCGGCCAACCUGUCAUACUUAUUACUGCGAGGGAUAUCCCAUUCCAGGGAUAUCCCGGUUCGUUGUUAUCCCGUAUGAGUAUAUCCCGGCUGGGGUAUAUCCCAUUCUACGAAUAUCCCGAUUCCCCACUUUUUUUUCCAAGUCUCUUUACCUUCUUUGUCUUUAAUUUCUCAAAAAAAAAAAAGUAAUUUAAAGAGGGUAUUAAUUACCAUAAAUGUUACCGUUGUCACAUGGGGAUUUAGAAAAUUAAGUUCUCUUUCUUCCAUUCAUAGCUUCCUCGUUUCUUCACCUAUUCGAAAUUUGAAUCCUCAAAUCUAUCUCUUCCAUCCAUAGCACCCCAUUUAUUCGCCGACUCCCUCUCUCUGUGUGUCUGUUUUGAAUUUCUUCCUCUCAUUUUUUUUCUAGUUUUGGGUCAUCGAAUGCCAAAAAAAAAAAAACACACAGAAAGACGCUACUCUAGGUUUUCUCUGCCGUUUCUGGUUUUUAUGAUUUUUUGAAAUUCUCUUAUUCAUCGGUGGCUGAUUUCAGGUAUGAAUCAUGACUUCUACUUUGUCUUUGUCUUUGCCAUUUCAUUUUUGUUUUAGUUUCAGAUCUAUUCUUUAUUACUUGUAUUUCAUUUGAUUUUUUUUAUGAUUUUUUUGUUUUCUUCUUUAUAAAUUCUUUGUCUUUGCCUGAUCAUCUUUUUUUUUUCAGAUAUAUUUAUUUAUCACUCGAAGCAAAGCAAAAGGGAAAGUAGGAGGGCUUUGAGGAUAGUGAAAAACGGUUGGUCCUGCUUCAUCGGAGAUUCAUUUCAGGUAUGAAUAUGUACUUAAAAUUUGUCUUUUUAUUUCAUCUCUGUUUUUAGUUUCUUAUAUGUACUUCUUUUUACUAAUAUACACAAAUUUAUAUUUAUCACUGCCCUGCUUCAGACCUAAAUUUGGAGAUGCUAGAACAUAACUUAAGGUCUUUGGUAUAUUUUACAAAUAUUUUUAUAGAAUUGUGAUUAAUUCCAUAUGGACCUGGAUGAGAAGGUCAUCAACAGUUUGUUAUCGUACUAAGUCUUGGACUCUUCAGGAACUACUUAAUUUGGAACUAUCAAGUGAAUCUUAUCUUCUUUCAUUUUAUCAUAUUUUUGUAACUUUCUUUUUCAUUUUAGUCUGUUGCUUACAAUUAUGUAGCAAUUGGAAAGUUUCCUUGAGUUUGAAUAAUCUUUGAUAGACUUUUGUGUCAAUUUUGAGUUAGGGUUUUUAAUUUUUUCUAGUCAAUUUGGUUCGAUUGGAUUUGGUUGAUCUCCAAAUAUGGAUCGAUAUUUUCUCAUGUUAAUUUGCUAAGAAAUAGCCUUUAGUUUUGGGUUAGGCUCGAGGUUAGGCCCUUUCAUUUCUCUGUAGCUUCUAGUCUGGCUGGCUUGGGCUUUUGGCAUGUUGAGCAGUUAAAUAGGUGACAAUCAAAGAUAAUGUGUUGUCCUUUCCGUUAACACUAGCUGAUAUCUGAUAUUUGAUCAACAUUAAGUGAAACGUGAUAACAAAAUAUCAAAAGUUUUAAUUAGAGAAGCAUGAAAAUCUUCAGCUAUGAUUAUAGUUUUUGUUUGCAAAACUAUAAUCUGAGGUUGAAAGUUCUAGCUUUUUAACCUUUUAGUUUGAUUUCUAUUUGCUAAUGUUAAUUUAUGUUAUUGUUUUCUGUAUGAAUCAUGCAUUCACCUCAUCAGUUGCAUACGAGAAUGACCUAGUUUUAUUAUUUAUCUUUUUGGGGGCAGGUUCACACGAAUAUAUUCUUGCUGUUUCUUUAGGUUAAUAUGUUAAUUCUUUUCUGCUAGUUUUAAGUUUAUUUGACAUUCAUUUGCGCUAACAUUAUGUUUGUUUGCCUUUUUUUUUUUUUUGUUUGUAGGUCUUAGCUUUUAGGGACAUAUCUCCCCAGGCUCCUACGCACAUUUUAAUUAUUCCAAAAUCAAAGGAUGGCCUAACUGGUUUGUCUAAGGUACAAUUUUUUUGUCCUCAUGACUAACUGAGCAGUAAACAUUUAUGCCCUCUAUCAUAGAGGAAACUACAAUUAUGGCUGGGUAUUAAUUUGGAAAAAAAGUAUGGAGUAUUGUUAAAAGAAUGCUACUCAAGUUUUGUCAAUUGAUUUGCCUUUUGCGUUUUGCUCACUCUUGAUGCUGUAUGAGGAAAAGAAAGAGAUGGCAAAUAGGAGUGAAAUUAAAUGGAAAUUGUAUCGAGAAAUUCUGGUGGUAAAGACUAAGAGAGUCUUAGCGGUUAUAAGAAGGUGGGGAACUGAAAGAACAUCAAUGCUGAGGAAAACCUUAAAACUUGAUAUGCAAGUAUCGAUAGGUAUAGGCCAUAAAUCCAUGAGAUAAAUUGAGCUUCUAAAUAUAUCCGUACAAUGAAAAACCCUAAUAAAAGCUUAAAGCAAUAUCCAUUAUUCAUCCUUGUUGGAAGAAAUUGUCUUUAGAGUUAAAUUGCAUAUACCCCUCCUUCGUUGUGUCAAAAUAGAUUACCUUCCCAAUGAACAGAAAGUAUGUCACCGAGUCUAGAAUUAAAAAGCUCAUCACCAAGUUAUUUCAAUCCAUCAACUUAUUGCAAUCACUAAAAAACUUGUAAGGUGUGUAAUGAAACAAACAUAAGGCUCAAAGAUGUCCGAUGAAAUAAUUUAGUGUUAGAAUUUGCAAUUUGUGUAUCCAAGGUUUGUUCAUUUGUUUUCUAUGUCAUAAUCACCUGCAUCUAUGACCUCCAUGCUCUGCACGUUUGCAACAGGAAUUUAGCAAUAUUUUUGUAUGUCUCUUGAAAUUAUCUUCAAUCUUAUUUUCACGUUUGAGUCACCCGUUCAUUUCUUUCAGUGGUAUGUUUUCAGUGCUUUAUUCGAUAUGUAGGUUUCUCUACCAAUGCAUCAUGUGCAAAUUUGAAAGGACAUGCUAAUGUGUUUUUACCAGGGAACUAUAUCUAACUCCUUGUGCUAUUGCAGAUGGAUAUACCUUCCAAAUUGGCUUUAUCUUUCCUUUUCUUUCUGCUACUAUCUUGUGCUUUGAGUAGUCUUUACAUGCAUGUCACCUUUUGGCCUGCUUUUCUUGCAUAACACAAUUAAUGAGCUAAACAUACAGGAACAAGCUCAGUUAACAUCUGUAGAUCAAAUGAGAGGGGGAAAUAUAGAAAGUUUGGCUGCAAUUCAGCAGACUAGGAUGCUUGCACAUACACUCUCUCAAAACAGUGAUCCUAAGUUUUGGGUUAUUUAAAACUGGUUGGCUAAAUACUUGCAAUGUGUCAAGAUAGCUCUUAAUGAUAUCAUCGUUACUAUGCAUGAGUUAAUAUAUGCACUUAUGUGCUGUAUGUUUUGGGGCAUGCAGAAUUCAAAAUUUCUUCAAUUUGUAUCCAAGAUGAGUCGUGGUGAACUUGUCAUUGAUUAUAAUCAGGUCAAACCAGCAUCAGAGAACUGGGCAACAGAAUAUCAGCAACAGUACAAUGGAGGUGCUUCUUGGGCUGAUGAAUUUGCUCAUGAUGAGGCAAGUAGAGAUCUUGUGGAAGGUAAAGAAGCGUAUAGAUUAAUAUGUCCUGAUAAUCAGUCAUAAAUUCCUUUUAGCAGUUUCCUCCUCCUUUUCUUCUGCCUUGCCUACGUAGACUAAAAUGGAACUAACAUCACUGACCUUAGGUAGUAAUCUCAUUCACCAACCCUAGGUGGUUGAAACUAGUUUUGAUGAUUGGAGAAUGUCACCAACCCUGCUGCUAAAUUGAGCAGUGAGAGCUUAUUGAUUAUAAUAAGUUAGAAGAUAAACUGUCACUGAUGAUUCUUGUAAUUGUAUAUCUCUGUUUGGUAUUAAACCAGCUAAAAACAUUGUAAUUUGUAUAAAAGUUCUUAUUAUACAGAAUCUGCUACUCUGGUUGGUGGUUCUUUGAUUUUCUUCAACCUGAUCAAUGGGCUGAGGAGUUUGCUACUGUAUGAGAACAACUAGGGUGUUUUGAUUUGUUUAUUCAGGAUACAAAGUGCAACUAAUGAUUCUGCGUGUUAUGUAUUAUUUUGAGACUCUUAAACCGUGCGAAGCUCUUAUUCUUAUUUGAAAUAUUCUAAUUUUCUUCGUUUCAUUAAAUGUUCUUGACUUGAUGGUUAAUAGGUUUUCCGUGGACCUGACCAUUGGGCCAAUGAAUUUGGUGCUGAAAGAUUGCAACAAGAGUCUGUCGAUGAUCAAUGGGUCAAUGAAUUCUCAAAGUUGCAUGUUGAUGACUGGGCAGAAGAAUUUGAUAGUCAAGUUGGUGAGGGGGCUUUGGGAGAUAGUUCAUCUGAUAACUGGGCAAAUUCAUAUGAUGAGUAAGUGUGGUAGCCUUGAAGAAGUUCACUUUAUAACCUCUCUUAAUUCUACAUGAUUGUUUUGGUUGUGAGAACUUGUAGGUUCCUCAGCGAUCGGACGCUUCAAGGGUUUUCUAUGUAUUUUCUGAUAUGAAUCCAUAUGUUGGUCAUCAAAAUCCUUUAAAAGAAGGUCAAGAGCUAUUCAGGAAAGGACUUUUGAGUGAAGCAGUGCUUGCCCUAGAGGCUGAAGUUAUGAAAAAUCCUGAGAAUGCUGAAGGUUGGAGAUUGCUAGGAAUAACCCAUGCUGAAAAUGAUGAUGAUCAGCAGGUAAUCCACUUUGCUCUAGUUUGUCAGAGUUGGAUAGUUCAUGUGUAUUCUUACACCAAAAGACAUUGUUUUUGUGUUCUUUAAUACUACAAGAAUUUCUAUUAAGAGAUGUGACUGCUUGUCUAAUUCAGCCAUCUGUUCAGCAUCUUUGGUUACGAUUCUUUGCCUGGCAAGGUUGACCAUUUACCUUUCUAUUCAACCUAAAUCUAAAUCAUUUUUAAUCUUGUCUAAUGCCCUGUGAAUACCAUCAUAUUUUAGAUAACAGAACAACCUAUUGAUUAAGCAAGCAAGAAAACCUUUUGAACACAAAGGAUCUAUUUUCUUGUAUGGCUACAUUUUGUGUUUUAUUUGCUGGCUUGAUAUAGCCAUGUUGGUGUACCAUGCAAUGUUCAUUUCUUGUAUAUGAAAACUUCUACUGGAAAGGGAUAGAAGGAGCUAUUUUUCGUUUAAACAUUGAAGUUUGUAAUAUGAUUGGUAUUACGUUUAUCUUAGUGGCUUGAGGCUUCAGUCAGAGUUCCAGAUCUAAGGCCGCAGUCUUUGCCUGACUGCUAAUGUUCUGGAUCUAACCUAUUAUCAUUUGUUGUCUCAUGAACUAGUAGUGCAUUACAUUUCACUUAUCAUCCGCUUCUAUUUAUUCUUGAACCAUGGCAAAACCUUUUUGGCUUAAUUAAAAUUAAUUUGAAUGGAUAAUGUUCCAUCUUAACCUAUGUCAAUAUCAAGCCUAUGAAGUGUAAUGUUUCACAUUUAUUGCAAAUUGUUUUGGAUGAUUAAUGUGUCUGCUUGUCAUUAUCUUGUGACUUACAUGGAUUAUGCUGGACCUUUUUAUACUUAUGUUAUUCUUGAUUAAUGCAUCUGCAGUUUUAUGUGGUUUUUACUGGGGUCCAUAUAUUUGACUUUGUAGAAAAAAUGUAAUUCACUGAUUAGAUAUCUCUGUACUGGCUAUUGCAGCAAUGAUGCAUGCUCAGGAGGCCGAUCCUACCAAUCUGGAAGUACUUCUUGCUCUUGGUGUGAAUCAUACAAAUGGUUAGUGAAUGCUUAUCCCUUUAAUCAAGAUGAGAUUAAAAUUUUGGAGUGUCAAACAUAUAAUACUGUUUGAAAAGUUCAGAAUUGGAACAGACUGCUGCUUUAAAGUAUCUGUAUGGAUGGUUACGUCAUCACCCAAAGUGUUACUUGAUCCAUCUUUGUAACCUUAGGCUGCUAAAAAGAUUCUCCAAAUAACAUGUUGCACCUAGUUGGACCUUAGAAGACAAACUAGCUCUUCUAUUAAGCUCCAUGUAAUUAGUUAUUUGAUUUGUUGAAGCUAUUUGUUAAUUUACAUAUACCCUUGAUCAUCUCUUUCAAAAUGCCUUUUUUAAUGCAUUCAGAUCUUGCAUAUGCAGUUUGAUUUGUUUAGCCUCUGUUACUGAGAUUCUCCAUUUAAAAUUAUUUGAUGAUAAACUUCCCUUUGCCUGUGGUGGCCAUAUUUUCAGCACUAUUGAAUUUAGUCAUUUGGUCUAUGUCUGGAUCUUUAGGCACUAGCUUUGAAGCCAAACUAUAUGCGUGCUUGGGCAAACAUGGGUAUCAGUUACGCCAACCAGGUUUGUUAUAUCCUUCAAUGUUCUCUCAUUGUCUUGACAUUCAUGAAAAGGGAACUGCAUUGCUUUCUUUAUGUCUUCAUUUCCUUUUGCAUAUUUCUGAGAUGGUCAAUCCUUCUAAAUCAAAAUUUAUGGGUAUGUGAUCAGAAAUUAAAUCACCUUGUUUUCAAUAUAUAGGUCUCAACAUAUUUUGGAAAAAUAAUUCGUUCGAAAUAACACUAAUCUCGAUGGAAAGAUGAAAGCUUAUUUGAUUGGUCAGUAAUAGAUUUUUAUGGUCUAAAAUGAAACCCAUAUUGGUAUACCCCGGCCUGGGUAUAUCCCAUUCUCGGAAUAUAUAAUUCGUUCGAAAUAACACUAAUCUCGAUGGAAAGAUGAAAGCUUAUUUGAUUGGUCAGUAAUAGAUUUUUAUGGUCUAAAAUGAAACCCAUAUUGGUAUACCCCGGCCUGGGUAUAUCCCAUUCUCGGAAUAUCCCGAUUCCCCACUUUUUUUCCUAAGUCUCUUUACCUUCUUUGUCUUUAAUUCCUCAAAAAAAAAAGUAAUUUAAAGAAGGUAUUAAUUACCAUAAAUGUUACCGUUCUCACUUAAGAUAAUGCUUUAAACUUUUUCACCUGUCUUUCUUUCUAAUGUGACAGUCAAGAUAGCCUACUGUUCUCGUGGAUAAAAAACUACUUCCUGGGAUAUGUAGUACUCUUCCUGUCCAUAAAUAACUGUUUUUAGUUAGUAUCUUUCUUUCCCUGUUUAUACAUUCAUGGAUUCCUUUCUAUCUCUUUUGCAGGUGCAAAAUCUAUAAUAAAUAGAAGUUGAAACCGCUUAUGGUAUUGGAAUUUUUGAAAACAUCGUCUCAUUCAUCUCUAUUUUUUUAAUUUAACAGAUAUUUUCUUUCGGUAUCUGUUCUCCUGUCUUUCCAUCCUUCCAUGGCUCUUUUAUUGUUAAUCCUGCCGUCGCCCUUUUCAUUCUUGUUUUAGUUUCAGAUAUAUGCUUCUUUUUACUUCUAUUUUCAGUGUGUUUUUGUCAUGGUUUUUUGUUUUCACCUUUAGAGGAUAAAGUCAUUAAGAAAAAAACCUAAGGUUUUAAGUUUUUCUCAAACCCUACCACAGUAUUGUGUCCAAUUCAAAACGAUGAAGAUAGCAGUGGAAGGGUGCAUGCAUGGAGAUCUCGACAAGGUCUACGACACCAUUAAAUACAUCGAAAACACUCGCAACAUCAAAAUUUACCUCCUCCUUUGUUAUGGUGAUUUCCAGGUUCUUUCUCUCACACUCUCACUUUCUCCAAUUUGUUGUUUUUAUACGAAAUUUUGUCACUUUCCAAAUACCCAUUUUUUAUAUGAACUUAAUUUUUUUUUCUUUUGCAACUUAGGCAGUCAGGAAUGGAAAAGAUAUGGAUAGCCUUAAUGUGGCCCCAAAAUAUAGGGAGAUGAAGUCAUUCUGGAAAUACUGUUCGGGUCAGGAGGUUGCCCCAGUUCCCACGAUUUUUAUCGGUGGAAAUAAUGAAGCUUCCAAUUAUUUAUGUAAGUCACCCCCUUUUCUUCAUAUGUUCUAGCUUGGGGAUUCUGAUUCUUUUAUGAAAAGGCCUUGAAUUUUACCUUCUGCUAUUGAAAUGUGUAAACUUUAGGUAUUAUGGGGGAUGGGCAGCACCUAAUAUAUACUUCUUGGGGUAUGCUGUGGUUGUGAAGUUUGGCAAUAUCCGUAUCGGUGGACUUUCCGGAAUUUACAAUGCGCGUAAUUAUUGUUUAGGUUGGGUAUGAAGUUCUUUUACUUGUCUAUUCUAUGUUUAUUCUGGAGUACUUUUAAUGGUGAUUGUAUAUUUACUGCAAGCGAGUGUCAGAUAUGUUAUAUUGAUUCUUAUUUAGGGUGGAGAGUCGAAGCUUUGAAACUGAAAUGAAUUAGCUUUUCCUUGAGCAGGACACCAUGAAAGGCCACCUUAUAAUGACAAUACUAUCAGGUCUGUGUAUCAUGUUCGGGAGUACGAUGUUCACAAGCUCAUGCACCUAGAGAAACUGAUUGAUAUUUUCCUUUCACACGAUUGGCCGCUCGGCAUCACUGAUUAUGGGAACUGGC
rnacentral:lncRNA from 1 species